rnacentral:rRNA from 1 species
GACGAACGCUGGCGGCGUGCCUAAUACAUGCAAGUAGAACGCUGAAGCGAGGAGCUUACUCUUCUUGGAUGAGUUGCGGACGGACGAGUAACGCGUAGGUAACCUGCUACGUAGUGGGGGAUGACAACUGGAAAAGAUAGCUAAUACCGCAUCACAAUGGAUGACACAUGACAUUUAUUUGAAAGGGGCAAUUGCUCCACUACAAGAUGGACCUGCGUUGGAUUAGCUAGUAGGUGAGGUAAUGGCCCACCCAGGCGACGAUACAUAGCCGACCUGAGAGGGAUGUCGGCCACACUUGGACUUAGACACGGGCCAGGCUCCUACGGGAGGCAGCAGUAGGGGAUCUUCGGAAAUUGGGGCAAAGCUUACCGAGGACAUCCGCGGUAGUUAAAGAGGGUUUCCGAUCUUAAAGCUCUGUUGUUAGUCAAGGACGGGUGUGAGGGUAGAAAGUUCACACUGUGACGGUAGCUUACCAGAAAGGGACGGCUAACUACGUG